UAGGGAAUCUUCGGCAAUGGGGGCAACCCUGACCGAGCAACGCCGCGUGAGUGAAGAAGGUUUUCGGAUCGUAAAGCUCUGUUGUAAGAGAAGAACGUGUGUGAGAGUGGAAAGUUCACACAGUGACGGUAACUUACCAGAAAGGGACGGCUAACUACGUGCCAGCAGCCAUGGUAAUACGUAGGUCCCGAGCGUUGUCCGGAUUUAUUGGGCGUAAAGCGAGCGCAGGCGGUUUAAUAAGUCUGAAGUUAAAGGCAGUGGCUUAACCAUUGUUCGCUUUGGAAACUGUUAAACUUGAGUGCAGAAGGGGAGAGUGGAAUUCCAUGUGUAGCGGUGAAAUGCGUAGAUAUAUGGAGGAACACCGGUGGCGAAAGCGGCUCUCUGGUCUGUAACUGACGCUGAGGCUCGAAAGCGUGGGGAGCAAACAGG
rnacentral:rRNA from 1 species